rnacentral:rRNA from 1 species
AUGUAUCAGCACAAGCCUCAAAAUGGUGAAGCCGCGAAUAGCUCAUUACAACAGUCGUAGUUUAUUAGAAAGUAUGCUAUGGAUAACUGUGGUAAUUCUAGAGCUAAUACAUGUUCUAAGCCCUGACUCACGCAAGGGUGCAUUUAUUAGAACAAAGCCGAUCAGACUAUGUCUGUCUCAGGUUGACUCUGAAUAACUUUGCUAAUCGCACAGUCUUUGUACUGGCGAUGUAUCUUUCAAAUGUCUGCCUUAUCAACUGUUGAUGGUAGAUUAUGCGCCUACCAUGGUUGCCACGGGUAACGGAGAAUCAGGGUUUGAUUCCGGAGAGGGAGCCUGAGAAACAGCUACCACAUCCAAGGAAGGCAGCAGGCACGCAAAUUACCCACUCCCAGUUCGGGGAGGUAGUGACGAAAAAUAACGAGACGAUGCUCUACGAGUAUCGUCAUCGGAAUGAGAACAAUCUAAAUACUUUAACGAGUAUCUAUUGGAGGGCAAGUCUGGUGCCAGCAGCCGCGGUAAUUCCAGCUCCAAUAGCGUAUAUUAAAGUUGUUGCGGUUAAAAAGCUCGUAGUUGGAUCUGAGAUUGUGGACAGCGGUCCUCAAAUGAGUUGUACUGCUUGUUCCGGUCUAAUCUGUUGGUUGGUGUGCAGUGCUCUUUAUUGAGUGUUGUAUGCUGCCAACUAUUUUACUUUGAAGAAAUUAGAGUGCUCAAAGCAGGCGACUGCUCGAAUAUUGGUGCAUGGAAUAAUGGAAUAGGGCCUUGGUUCUAUUUUGUUGGUUUUAGGAGCACGAGGCAAUGAUUAAGAGAGACAGACGGGGGCAUUUGUAUUGCUGCGUUAGAGGUGAAAUUCUUGGAUCGUAGCAAGACAAACGACUGCGAAAGCAUUUGCCAAGAAUGUUUUCAUUAAUCAAGAACGAAAGUUAGAGGUUCGAAGGCGAUCAGAUACCG